rnacentral:rRNA from 1 species
UGCGUAACGCGUACACAACAUACCCUUUACGAGGGGGAUAGCGGCGGGAAACUGCCAGUAACUACCCCAUGUCCUUGCGAGGGUGGCAUCUAUUUUGCAAAGAAAGUUCAAGCGGUAAAGGAUUGGUGUGCGUCCGAUUAGCUAGUUGGCGGGGUAACGGCCCACCAAGGCGACGAUCGGUAGGGGGUGUGAGAGCAUGGCCCCCCACACGGGUACUGAGACACGGACCCGACUCCUACGGGAGGCAGCAGUAAGGAAUAUUGGACAAUGGACGAAAGUCUGAUCCAGCUAUGCCGCGUGAAGGAUUAAGGUCCUCUGGAUUGUAAACUUCUUUUAUAUGGGACGAAAAAAGGGCAUUCUUGUUCACUUGACGGUACCAUAUGAAUAAGCACCGGCUAACUCCGUG